rnacentral:sRNA from 1 species
AGGGACUUGAGCAUCUAUGGAUUUUCGUAUCCAUGGUUAUGGUAUCUGUGGGGUAUUCUAGAGCCAAUCCCCCAUGGGUACUGAGGGAUGACUGUACUUAAAAAAUAGGCACACAAUCUCAUGAGUUAUCGUCACUUACGUACGAAAGCUUUUCUGGUUGUAAUUGUUGUUUUGUCAUGAAGAUAUUAAAGCCUUGGUCUCAAAUAAUUUUUAGGGAAUUAUUUCUUUUUUUUCUUUUUUUUUUUUUUGAGAUGGAAUCUCCCUCUGUCGCCCGGGCUGGAGUGCAGUGGCACGAUCUCGGCUUACCGCAACCUCCGCCUCCUGGGUUCAAACAAUUCUCCUGCCUCGGCCUCCUGAGUAGCUGGGAUUACAGGAAUCAAGUUUGCUAAGAGACCACCAGUGCUGAAUGCACUUUGUUCUGGCAAGAGCAGAAAACUGAGAAGCCGUGUUACCUACCACUACCUGGGAUACAUUCAGGUGAGAAAUGGGUCUCUAUUCACUCCUCAUUCCUCACUAAUUGUCUAUUCCCCUCCUCACUUCUUAUUUCAGUCUCUCUCUUACUCUUUUUGGAGAGAGAUGAAGGUAUCCUUGGGAGCCACUGAGUGAAGAAACACAAGCUGGAGUUUGAGGUUUCUGGAGAGAAGGAAAAUCACUUUGCAAACCCAUGUAUUAUUUUUGCUCCUUGUUGCUGAAACACAGGCAAAAGGAAUUGUUGCAUGCAGGGAAAAUUCUAGGUGUUUCUUUUGCUAACGAUUGUUGUAUAAUUUGGGGCAAGUAAUUCCCUUCUCUAGGAAUGGAGCAAUUUAUUACAGAAAUUAUCAAGAUUGCUCAAAAUGGGAGUAGACAACACUGGCAGAGUACUCAUCUCUUUCCCCUUCUCUCUUUCUUAUUCUCUCUU